GGGCCGGGCACGACGGAAAAGUUACCCCGGGGAUAACAGAGUCGUCGCGGGCGAGAGCUCCUAUCGACCCCGCGGUUUGCUUCAUCGAUGUCGGCUUUUCCCAUCCUGGGAGUGCAGCAGCUUCCAAGGGUGGGGCUGCCCGCCCAUUAAAGGGGAACGUGAGCUGGGUUCAGACCGUCGUGAGACAGGUCGGUCUCUACCCGCAGGAGGUGUUGGCCGUCUGAGGGGGAGGUACCCCUAGUACGAGAGGAACGGGGUGCCGCGGCCUCUAGUCUACCGGUUGUCUUGGCAGGCAAUGCCGGGCAGCCACGCCGUAAGGGGUUACCGCUGAAAGCAUCUAAGCGGGAACCCUGACCCAAAAAGAGACGGCCAUCUGCUCUCUGGCGAAAGCUGGAGGGCAGCGAGGGCACCCGUAAAACACGGGUUUGAUGGGGUGGGGGUGUAAGACACGAGGGCGUAAGCUCGAGUGUUUCAGCCCGCCACUCCCAAUAGCCCAAGGCCGCAGGAUA
rnacentral:rRNA from 1 species